CUCUGGCUCGGUCUCAGAGGUCUCCCUGAUCUCACAGUUUCACUCCAUCAAAAGAGCCCCUAACCCUGGGGCUGUUGGAACAAGAGGAUCCAAGGGACAAAUUUCAGAUUUCUGUCUCCUUUGUUCUCUGGAGCCCAGGGAGACAUCCCAUCAAGUUGUUUCAUCAGCUGGAUUGUCAUUACUCUGGACCUGGAACUUUGAAGACCAGGAUAUACAGCAUGUCUCCCUGAGACUAACUUCAGUUAAACAGUAAUAUCUUAAUGGGGCUGUAGCCCUGGGAAAUGAUGCCCACCGUCACCCACAUCCAGUCAGCACAAAGACUGAGACAAUAAACCCACUCCACAAAAGUUCCUGGAAUCCAGGCUUGUCAGAGUCAGACUGCUUGAAAUAUGCAGUUCCCCUCUGGAAGAUUUGUUCCUCAUGAACCCAUGCUUUACUAACUGUCAAUUGGAGAAGCAAAGGCAGGAGUCAAGACCGUGUUCUUGGCAUCUAUCUUCUGAGGAUACCGUGCCGCCGCACGAGGGAUUAAGGAUCCCAGGUCAUUUGCAACGGCAGUGUUUUAGCAUGACCCGCAAUGCCUGCUUGCCAGAGAGCAGCAGCCCUUCACCAGGACCGACGAAUUAGAGACCGAGGCCUGCUGCUCCCGAAGCCCCGACUGCCUGGUCAGAGGCCUCUGGUUACCAUCCGUGGCACUGCUGAGGGCCUGUUUGGAAACAACGAUGCUGUCUGGGCUGUGAGCUAUGGCACUAAACGUUUACGCAAAGAGACCUCACCCUUAUUUUUGGGACAUGUAAUAGCAUCAUGGGUGCCAUGGGCCUCAAACUGAAGGGCCUCAGGACUCUGAUGAAGCCGACGGCAGGAUGUCCUGAACACCACAGCGCUUAAUGGAAUCCGCAUGAAAAUUUCAUUUUCUCCGCAUAAUGACUCGGUUCUAAAAUAUUCAAUGUUUUGUGAGUCUCAUUAAGGUGAAAUAAUUCUAUUCUAACUUGAGUCAUAGAUUUUCUACCUGCUUCUAUUCCUAAAGGCUUUUUGCAAUUCUCGUCAGAGUAUUUUUCUUUUUUUUUAAUGCAAAAUUGUCUUCUAUCCCACAGAAAGCUUUAAUCUGGUGAGGACAGUCUCUCUCCUGGCAACAUCCAGGAUACUAGAUGAACAGGGGUCAGCUGGGAAGUUUGAAGAGAAACCUUGGUAAUCUGCAAAACAAAGCUGGGAAUUCUCUAAAGAAUGUUUAGCAAAGAUACUACAGUUUGAAGUGAAUAGGAAGGGUUUUGUUCACAGGCUCUGCCUGGCUGCUGGAUUCAAAGAGUGUUCAGCCCCAGAAAAGAACAUCAAUGUCUUACUUGGAAAUUAAACACACACACAAAAGGCUUCUUUACUGCCCACGUUGAGUUUUGCUUGACUGUAGGAAGGUUCAUCACGCCUGAAAAUACGUAUCAUUGCCUCUGAUCCGAAGCAAGUGCUACAGAGGAACAAAGACACGUCUUCUGGCUUUGGGGAAACAAUUUGUCAAGGAAUUUGCUUCAGAAAGAUCUACAAAAGACCCAAAUGAUUCUGUAGAGGGAGACCUUGAAGUUUGGUCUGUGGAUUGUGAGUGGGGUCGCUGGCCCUCAUCCCCUAGACCAUGUUUGUGACCUCAGGCAAGACACGUGAGCUUGUUGUACCUUUAUUCCUGCAUUUGAACAUCAGGGAUAAUACUUGCUGCCUACUUACCCUCAAAGGGAUAUGCGGGGAUUAGCCAAUUAAAAUUUGCCAAAUGCCUGAAAAUCAAUGGAGGGAAAAAUCUAUAUGCCUAUAAAGUAUCAUUAUCAUUCCCCUCUGUCUACCUUUUCUCUCUCUCUUUUUCGCUAUCGUCGGAGACUUCAUGAGCAUUGCCUGAGGUUUUGCUUUUGGUUGCUAUAUCGCACAAUGACCAUCUCCUUUGAAUGAUUUGUUUGAAAUUGGUCCUUUCUAUACUAUCAGGGGGAGGUUUCCAACGCAAAGCAUCCUAGACUGACUGUCAAUAGGUCAUACCUGGCAAGGUUUCCUUUGGGUUUAUCUUCAGAGUCCCAUAGGGUGGAAAAAAUCAACCUAUUUAAGGUAUAAUACAAUAUAAUUUGGAAAAAUUCACCAAUUAGUGACUCAAAGCUGGUGAAGAAUAAAAAUAAAGUCACUUUAGAGCCCUGUUACAAUCCUUAAAGAGAUGCAACUUUCAGCCAAAACAAUAAUACUUUAUAUGUUACAAAUAUUGCCCCUCUGGUUCUUACAACCACCUGUAAAAUGAGUAUAACACAACUUGGUCAUAUUAUACUCAUUAUACAGCUAAAAAAAAAAAAAUUGAGAUUCAGAGAGGUUGAGUGAUUUUUUCCACAGUAUUUAGCAAUGCAUGGCAAAGCCAGGUCUAGACUCCAAAUUUCUGUAACUUCUGGUUCCAAGGGCAAUAGAUUUUCCCACUACACCUUGCUGCUAUCCUUUGACUAUGGCUCAAAUGAUAUUAAAAGCACAAAUAUUAUUGCUUUGAUACUCCAAUAUGUGUUCUUUUUUUCCACACCACCAAACAACUCCAUUCUGGCACUGUCUCCCUGGAGAUAGCACCAGAUCCCGCUUCAGUCCUACAAGACUGUCUCCCUCAUUUCAGAUGCCAGUUGUAAGUCCGGAUAGUCACUCCUUCUGACAACAUACUAUAGCUUGGAGGUUCUGAUGACCUUCUCCUCUGGUUUGAUUAAUGUGCUAGAGCAGCUCACAGAACUCAGAGAAACACUUUGCUUCCUAGAUUGCCAGUUCAUUAUAAAAAGGAUGUACUCAGGAACAGCCAGGUGGGAAAGCUGCAUAGGAAAGGUAAUGGGGAGGGAUGUAGAGCUUCCAUACCCUUUCCAAGCAUGCCACUGUCCCUGGAUCUCCUUGUGCUCACCAACAAGGAAGCUUUCUGAUCCUGUCCUUUUGGGUUUUUAUGGAGGCUUCAGUACACAGAUAUGAUUGAUUAAAUCUUCGGCUCUUGGUGAUUGAACUCAGUCUCAGCCCCACUCUCCUCCCUGGAGCUGGGGGUGAAACUGAAAAUUACAACCCUUUAAUCACUUGGUUGGUUCCCCUGGCAACCAGCCCCCAUCCUUUGGUUACUUAGGGACUUUUCAAAAGUCACCUCAUUAACAAAAGACACCUUUAUCGAUUUCUUCCAUUAGGAAAUUCCAUGGGUUCUAGGAGCCCUGUGCUAAGAACAGUGGAUGAAAGCCAAAUAUAUAUUUCUUAUUAUAAAUUACAGUGUCACAAGUAUCCUUUCCUUUACUUCGAAGACCACCUGGACCUGUGCAACAUAUCUAACCUGAUAAAGAACCUGCAGAAAGCCUGGAAUAGAAUGCCCUUUCCAAGACCACUUCCUGUGUGCUUUGGGAUCACAGGAUGCCAAGUGCUCACUCUCUAAUUCUACCCAUGCUGUUGCUCUGACAUGUCUAACGUGUGGUAAGCAGUCGGCCUAUCAGGAAUAUUUGGUAGGCCUUAAUGCAGAGAUGGAAAAUAGUUAUCAUUGUUAAAAAAAUAAAAUUCAAGGGGUGCCUGGGUGGCUCAGUCGGUUAAGCAUCCAACU